CAAAAUCCACCUUUCUGGAAACUCACAAUAAGAUUCUGCAAGACGUUGCCAAGACAACGCAAUGGCAACUGAAGACAGGGGACCAGAACGUGCUGCCUGGAGACAUUAAUAAACUCUUCUCCUUAAAUGACUGUGGUAGGAAGUAAUUCAUUGAAAUAUAUUACAUUCCAGAAGGAGUUCUCUCUUCAGACAAGCUUGCCUUUGGCUCUGCUUGCUCAACUUUCAGCCCAGGGAGACUGCACGCUCCUAAGCUUUUAAAAGAUGAUGCUUGAAAAACGACCAGCUCUCUUGUACCCCUAAACCAUCUGGAUCGGAUUCCCAGUGGACACUGCUAGCUAGCUGCCUGAAAAGCUUCGAGUCUGCACUCUUGAAGCCCAGGGAGGAAACUCUGCUGACAUUUUUUCCUCAUUACACCAAAAGUGUAGAACUGAACUAUUUCAUGACCACUGUAGGCAAGACAGCCACCUACUAUCACCUCUCCCACAAGAUCUUCCCUAUUUACAAACAACAGAUCCAGGAGGACUCCUUUCCUAUUUAGAUCACGAAGUAGAUGUGACAGAAAUUUAUCUUCAACAUGCUUUUGGAAUUUCCA